GACGAACGCUGGCGGCGUGCCUAAUACAUGCAAGUAGAACGCUGAAGGGAGAGCUUGCUCUUCUGGAUGAGUUGCGAACGGGUGAGUAACGCGUAGGUAACCUGCCUGGUAGCGGGGGAUAACUAUUGGAAACGAUAGCUAAUACCGCAUAAUAGUAGAUGUUGCAUGACAUUUGCUUGAAAGGUGCAAUUGCAUCACUACCAGAUGGACCUGCGUUGUAUUAGCUAGUUGGUGGGGUAACGGCUCACCAAGGCGACGAUACAUAGCCGACCUGAGAGGGUGAUCGGCCACACUGGGACUGAGACACGGCCCAGACUCCUACGGGAGGCAGCAGUAGGGAAUCUUCGGCAAUGGACGGAAGUCUGACCGAGCAACGCCGCGUGAGUGAAGAAGGUUUUCGGAUCGUAAAGCUCUGUUGUAAGAGAAGAA
rnacentral:rRNA from 1 species